rnacentral:rRNA from 1 species
UACGUAGGGUGCGAGCGUUUGUCCGGAAUUAUUGGGCGUAAAGAGCUUGUAGGCGGUUUGUCGCGUCUGCUGUGAAAAUCCGGGGCUCAACCCCGGACUUGCAGUGGGUACGGGCAGACUAGAGUGUGGUAGGGGAGACUGGAAUUCCUGGUGUAGCGGUGAAAUGACGCAGAUAUCAGGAGGAACACCGAUGGCGAAGGCAGGUCUCUGGGGCCACUACUGACGCUGGAGAAGCGAAAGCAUGGGGAGCGAACAGG